rnacentral:rRNA from 1 species
ACCUUUAAUUAUAAAAUAACUUUAGGCUUUCACAUUGAUGAAGAACACAGUGAAAUGUGAUAAGUAAUGUGAAAUGCAGAAUUCAGUGAAUCAUAAAAUCUUUGAACGCAUCUUGUGCCUUUUGUAUUCCAAAAGGCACGCCUGUUUGAUUUUCA